rnacentral:rRNA from 1 species
AUUGAACGCUAGCGGGAUGCCUUACACAUGCAAGUCGAACGGAGUGGCGAACGGGUGAGUAAUGUAUCGGAACGUGCCCAGUAGCGGGGGAUAACUACGCGAAAGCGUAGCUAAUACCGCAUACUAUUGGAGCGGCCGCUAUCGGAUUAGCUAGUUGGUGGGGUAACGGCUCACCGAGGCGACGAUCCGUAGCUGGUUUGAGAGGAAGACCAGACACUCUGGUACUGGGACACGGCCCAGCCUCUGACCUGAGGCAGCAGUGGGGAAUUUUGGCCAAUGGGCGAAAGCCUGAUCCAGCCAUCCCGCGUGUGCGAUGAAGGCCUUCGGGUUGUAAAGCACUUUUGGCAGGAAAGCGGUACCUGCAGAAUAAGCACCGGCUAACUCCGUGCCAGCAGCCGCGGUAAUUC